AUUGAACGCUGGCGGCAGGCCUAACACAUGCAAGUCGAACGGUAACAGGAAGCAGCUUGCUGCUUCGCUGACGAGUGGCGGACGGGUGAGUAAUGUCUGGGAAGCUGCCUGAUGGAGGGGGAUAACUACUGGAAACGGUAGCUAAUACCGCAUAAUGUCGCAAGACCAAAGAGGGGGACCUUCGGGCCUCUUGCCAUCGGAUGUGCCCAGAUGGGAUUAGCUUGUUGGUGGGGUAACGGCUCACCAAGGCGACGAUCCCUAGCUGGUCUGAGAGGAUGACCAGCCACACUGGAACUGAGACACGCUCCAGACUCCUACGGGAGGCAGCAGUGGGGAAUAUUGCACAAUGGGCGCAAGCCUGAUGCAGCCAUGCCGCGUGUAUGAAGAAGGCCUUCGGGUUGUAAAGUACUUUCAGCGGGGAGGAGGGGAGUAAAGUUAAUACCUUUGCUCAUUGACGUUACCCGCAGAAGAAGCACCGGCUAACUCCGUG
rnacentral:rRNA from 1 species